rnacentral:rRNA from 1 species
ACGAGUGGCGAACGGGUGAGUAACACGUGAGCAACCUGCCCUUGACUUCGGAAUAACAGCUGGAAACAGCUGCUAAUACCGGAUAUGACCUCGCUUGUCCUCAGGCGAGGUGGAAAGCUCCGGCGGUCAGGGAUGGGCUCGCGGCCUAUCAGCUUGUUGGUGAGGUAAUGGCUCACCAAGGCUUCGACGGGUAGCCGGCCUGAGAGGGCGACCGGCCACACUGGGACUGAGAUACGGCCCAG